rnacentral:rRNA from 1 species
AACGAACGCUGGCGGCAGGCCUAACACAUGCAAGUCGAGCGCCCUUUCGGGGGAGCGGCGGGCGGGUGAGUACCGCGUGGGAAUAUGCCCUUCUCUACGGAAUAGCCUCGGGAGACUGAGAGUAAUACCGUAUACGCCCUAUGGGGGAAAGAUUUAUCGGGGAAGGAUUAGCCCGCGUUGGAUUAGGUAGUUGGUGGGGUAAUGGCCUACCAAGCCGACGAUCCAUAGCUGGUUUGAGAGGAUGAUCAGCCACACUGGGACUGAGACACGGCCCAGACUCCUACGGGAGGCAGCAGUGGGGAAUCUUAGACAAUGGGGGCAAUCCUGAUCGAGCCAUGCCGCGUGAGUGAUGAAGGCCUUAGGGUUGUAAAGCUCUUUCAGCUGGGAAGAUAAUGACGGUACCAGCAGAAGAAGCCCCGGCUAACUCCGUG